AACGAACGCUGGCGGCGUGGAUAAGACAUGCAAGUCGAACGGGACAAGUAGCAAUAUUUGUCUAGUGGCGAACGGGUGCGUAACACGUGGGCAACAUGCCUGGAAGAGCGGGAUAGCCCGGGGAAACUCGGAUUAAUACCGCAUGUGACAACGGGGCGGAUUCGCCCUGUUUUCAAAGGUGGGGACCGCAAGGCCUGCCGCUUCCAGAUUGGCCCGCGUCCUAUCAGCUAGUUGGCGGGGUAACGGCCCACCAAGGCGACGACGGGUAGCUGGUCUGAGAGGACGAACGGCCACACUGGAACUGAGACACGGUCCAGACACCUACGGGUGGCAGCAGUCGAGAAUCUUUCACAAUGGGGGAAACCCUGAUGGAGCGACGCCGCGUGGAGGAUGACGGUCUUCGGAUUGUAAACUCCUGUCAUGAAAGAACAAGCGGAGCGGGUGAACAGCCCGCCGAGUUGAUAGUAUUUCAAGAGGAAGGGACGGCUAACUUCGUGCCAGCCGCCGCAGUAACAC
rnacentral:rRNA from 1 species